AUUGAACGCUGGCGGCAUGCCUUACACAUGCAAGUCGAACGGUAACAGGUCUUCGGAUGCUGACGAGUGGCGAACGGGUGAGUAAUACAUCGGAACGUGCCUAGUAGUGGGGGAUAACUACUCGAAAGAGUGGCUAAUACAGCAUGAGAUCUACGGAUGAAAGCAGGGGAUCGCAAGACCUCGUGCUACCAGAGCGGCCGAUGGCAGAUUAGGUAGUUGGUGGGAUAAAAGCUUACCAAGCCGACGAUCUGUAGCUGGUCUGAGAGGACGAUCAGCCACACUGGGACUGAGACACGGCCCAGACUCCUACGGGAGGCAGCAGUGGGGAAUUUUGGACAAUGGGCGAAAGCCUGAUCCAGCAAUGCCGCGUGCAGGAAGAAGGCCUUCGGGUUGUAAACUGCUUUUGUACGGAACGAAAAGCCCCGGGUUAAUACCCUGGGGUCAUGACGGUACCGUAAGAAUAAGCACCGGCUAACUACGUGCCAGCAGCCGCCGUAA
rnacentral:rRNA from 1 species